rnacentral:rRNA from 1 species
AUUGAACGCUGGCGGCAGGCCUAGCACAUGCAAGUCGAGCGGACGAAGGGAGCUUUCUCCUGGAUUCAGCGGCGGACGGGUGAGUAAUUCCUAGGAAUCUGCCUUGUAGUUGGGGAUAACGUCCGGAAACGGGCGCGAAUACCGCAUACGUCCUUAGGUAGAAAGUGGGGGAUCUUCGGACCUCACGCUAUCAGAUGAGCCUACGUCGGAUUAGCUAGUUGGUGGGGUAAAGGCCUACCAAGGCGACGAUCCGUAACUGCUCUGAGAGGAUGAUCAGUCACACUGGAACUGAGACACGGUCCAGACUCCUACGGGAGGCAGCAGUGGGGAAUAUUGGACAAUGGGCGAAAGCCUGAUCCAGCCAUGCCGCGUGUGUGAAGAAGGUCUUCGGAUUGUAAAGCACUUUAAGUUGGGAGGAAGGGCAGUAAGUUAAUACCUUGCUGUUUUGACGUUACCAACAGAAUAAGCACCGGCUAACUUCGUG